AAAGAAAUACCAGGUGAAGCAUAUGCCCUGCAAGCUUAGGGGUGCUACAGUUGACCACUGCAGCAGUAAAGAUGACUGAAGAAUGGCAUGGGAUGGAUCCUUUCGAAUGCACUUGAGCAGCAGUCUCCAAACACAGGGCCACAGAGCCAGAGAAUGUAUUUGUCACUUCCAGCUGAAUCUACCAUGAAAGACUUCUGAAUCCAGGAAAAGAGACUGACUGGGUAACAUGUUAUUCAGGAGAUGGGGUCU
rnacentral:lncRNA from 1 species